AAAUCCCAAAUUUUGGGUGAGAAUUCCCAAAUUUUGGGUGAGAAUUCCCAAAAUUUCCACGCCGGCUCUCGGCAAGGCUUCACUGCGGCUCUGCCGUACACCUUGCGAAGAGGGGGCCUAAAGCAGGGCUCAGGUCCAGGUAAAACUUGGAAAUUUCCGGGGUUUUUGGGGUUUUUGGGAUGGUUUUGGGGUUCAGCUCGGAAUUCCGGGGUUAAAUCCCAAAUUUGGGGUUUUUUCCGGAAUUUUUUAUCAUUUUUCCAGUCAUUUUUGCAACAAUUCCCAGGUCAGGUUUGUCGCAAAUUAUUGCUGUUUUUUCCCAAAUUUUGGUGUUUUAUCCCCAAAUUUUGGGGUUUUCCACAUUUCUGGGAUGGUUUCUGGGAUGUUUAUCCCAAAAUUCCGGGGUUAAAUCCCAAAUUUUGGGUGAGAAUUCCCAAAAUUUCCACGCCGGCUCUCGGCAAGGCUUCACUGCGGCUCUGCCGUACACCUUGCGAAGAGGGGGCCUAAAGCAGGGCUCAGGUCCAGGUAAAACUUGGAAAUUCCGGGGUUUUUGGGGUUUUUGG